rnacentral:rRNA from 1 species
CCUACGGGUGGCUGCAGUGAGGAAUAUUGGUCAAUGGACGCAAGUCUGAACCAGCCAUGCCGCGUGCAGGAUGACGGCCCUAUGAGUUGUAAACUGCUUUUGUACGAGGGUAAAUCCCGAUACGUGUAUCGUGUUGUAUGUACCGUACGAAUAAGGAUCGGCUAACUCCGUGCCAGCAGCCGCGGUAAUACGGAGGGUUCAAGCGUUAUCCGGAUUUAUUGGGUUUAAAGGGUGCGUAGGCGGUUGGUUAAGUUAGAGGUGAAAUCCCGGGGCUCAACUCCGGCACUGCCUCUGAUACUGUCGGGCUAGAGUUUAGUUGCGGUAGGCGGAAUGUAUGGUGUAGCGGUGAAAUGCAUAGAGAUCAUGCAGAACACCGAUUGCGAAGGCAGCUUACCAAACUGCGACUGACGUUGAGGCACGAAAGCGUGGGGAGCAAACAGGAUUAGAUACCCUAGUAGUC